rnacentral:rRNA from 1 species
AGCGGCGGAUGGGUGAGUAACACGUGGGGAACCUGCCCCUAAGUCUGAGAUACCAUUUGGAAACAGGUGCUAAUACCGGAUAAUAAAGCAGAUCGCAUGAUCAGCUUUUGAAAGGCGGCGUAAGCUGUCGCUAAGGGAUGGCCCCGCGGUGCAUUAGCUAGUUGGUAAGGUAACGGCUUACCAAGGCGACGAUGCAUAGCCGAGUUGAGAGACUGAUCGGCCACAUUGGGACUGAGACACGGCCCAAACUCCUACGGGAGGCAGCAGUAGGGAAUCUUCCACAAUGGACGCAAGUCUGAUGGAGCAACGCCGCGUGAGUGAAGAAGGUUUUCGGAUCGUAAAGCUCUGUUGUUGGUGAAGAAGGAUAGAGGUAGUAACUGGCCUUUAUUUGACGGUAAUCAACCAGAAAGUCACGGCUAACUACGUGCCAGCAGCCGCGGUAAUACGUAGGUGGCAAGCGUCGUCCGGAUUUAUUGGGCGUAAAGCGAGCGCAGGCGGAAAAAUAAGUCUAAUGUGAAAGCCCUCGGCUUAACCGAGGAACUGCAUCGGAAACUGUUUUUCUUGAGUGCAGAAGAGGAGAGUGGAACUCCAUGUGUAGCGGUGGAAUGCGUAGAUAUAUGGAAGAACACCAGUGGCGAAGGCGGCUCUCUGGUCUGCAACUGACGCUGAGGCUCGAAAGCAUGGGUAGCGAACAGGAUUAGAUACCCUGGUAGUCCAUGCCGUAAACGAUGAGUGCUAAGUGU